AGUGCAGACUGUUGCACUUGGACCGGAGCUUUGAAUUAGCACGAAAAAGAGGCAUUUCUGCAUCAUCAUAGUACGCUGGGCUGGGCAGUGCACUUUACCCACCACACAGCAGCAGCAGCCCAAGACAGGCUGGCAGUGGCAGCUCCGUUGAAUAAUUGAGAGGUGAUAAGCUGAAUAUGUGGAACCUGUUGAAAUCCCAAAUGUGAGCAACUAUGCUGACGCGGUAGCCGAGACUCUGACCUAGUAAGUGAGAAAAUGGGCACACACUUACUGUAAGAGGUUGGAGCUCACCUCACCACACAUGCCUUCAGUACAGUCGUCACCAGUUCUCCAUUAGCCACCAGACUGUUGAAGACAGAAAAUGCCAUAAGAAGAAGAAAAAAAACGACCAUCUUCACUCCCGAGGUGACCACAGGUUCUGAGUUGUCAACCUGAGUGGGCUACUGCGGUCAUCAAAAGGCAAGGCAAGGCGUUCAUUCGCACAUUCGCCCCCAGCUGACAAAUCUGUCACUUGUGUCGUUCAAAUCGAAAGGCAUGUACAUUAAGUGAUGCAGGUUGACAUAAAGUGCACACAGACGCUGAUCACUCUGUAUACAGUGCAUUUGAAGAUCACGUUGAGUCAGUGGUACAUAAAGAAA